GGUGACUUUGGAGGGCUCCACGUUGGGGUUCUCCCACUCCAUCUGAGGGCAGUGCAUGAAGUAGCAGAGCGUGUACAAGGCCUCGGGCUCCCAGUGGACCAAGCUGCUCUUCUGGGGCAACGGCGUCCCGUUACUGUGGUUCUUGAUGCUCAGAGGCUGGAGCAGAGAAGGUGCCCUUCAUCGGCAGACAUGGAGAGUGGAGGAAGCAGAAUGGUGUUUUACUGUGAAAACUGA
ensembl:processed_transcript